rnacentral:lncRNA from 1 species
UUUGGGAGCUACUAUCACUCUUUUUGUCAUAACGCACGCGUACAAGUAGCAAUUGAGGAUCGGUGAUCGCGACUAGAAAGAACACUUUUGCGGCUACACUUUUUGCAUAUUGCUUGCUGGAUUCCAAGUUGGAAUGAAGGAGUUAUUAGAUUUUGAAGUCAGUGUAUGCAAUCUAAGGGUAGUAAGUGAUCCGAUUUAUUAGUGGUUGUGUCUUGAGCUAUAUCUUGAGCAAUUUGACAAGGUUUUGGCUCAAAAUUUCAGGAAAUGUUUAAUUUCAUGUAAGUAAACUUUGUACAUAAGUUUUAUGAUAUUUGAGUAUUGGAUUCUU